rnacentral:misc_RNA from 1 species
UGAAUGAAGUUAUUCAAUUAAUUAUUUUGUGUUUUUUUUCCCCUAUAUUUCAUCCUUGAAGGAUUUUUUAUUUGAGCUGUUGAUUUAUGUCUUGUUUGAAUCGAUGGGAUUAACAAGAAAUUGUGUGUGUUUAUCCUACUCACUUGGUUUAAACCAUGAUUUUGAGGAAAAUUACAUUUCCUCCUCUAUUAAACAUCUACAAUGAAGAAGGAAAAUGCCUGUGAUCUGGACAGUUAUAAGAAAUCUGCAAUUUUAGUGAUCGUACUUGCAAGUGAAAAACCGGGUCAUGAAAGUGAAAACGAGACUUCCUGAGGAACAAGAUAUUUCAGACUGUGAUAUAAAAUAGAAGCAUUUUUUUGUGGAUUUCUAAUAUUUAUUUUUCAUUAUGUUGCGUUUAUUAUUUGUUUUUGUUGUUGUUUUGCAACCCAAAUCUAUAUUGAAUUUAUUUUGUAUUCACAGAUCAUGGCGUGAAACUUAAAGGCCACUUAUUGGCCGUCACUUGACAAUAGAUAACCUUCUCACAAAAUCCGUCCAUUAUUAUUUUUGAAAAGUUAGAUUUUCGUGGAUACUGUGAAUUAUUAUGAAUAUUUACUAUAUGUGUGAGUAUCUUCCGUCCAAAUAUUCCAGACAGCUGAUAAUAAUUAUGGAAUAUUUCUUCACUCUGUUUUUUUUUUCUAUCGUUUCUAUAUCUAUUUCUUAAUGAAUUUAGAUGGUAGAAUUGACAAAUCAUCUGUGAUAUAUAAUAAAACAUCUGCUGAUGUGCCUAAUUAAAUUGAGAAUAAAGUGUUUGAGACAUUCAGGUUUAAAAGCUAUAUGUAUGUUUACACAAUAAAAGAAUUCAUUGAG